UACGGAGGGUGCAAGCGUUAAUCGGAAUCACUGGGCGUAAAGGGCGCGUAGGCGGCGCGACAAGUCAGGCGUGAAAGCCCCGGGCUCAACCCGGGAAUUGCGCUUGAUACUGUCGUGCUUGAGGCCGGGAGAGGAUGGCGGAAUUCCCAGUGUAGAGGUGAAAUUCGUAGAUAUUGGGAAGAACACCGGUGGCGAAGGCGGCCAUCUGGACCGGUUCUGACGCUGAGGCGCGAAAGCGUGGGGAGCAAACAGG
rnacentral:rRNA from 1 species